CCUGUGUGUUUAGGGAUCUCUCCUUGCAGAGCUGAUUGACCAUGUGAGGCCCAGGUUUGAACCUGCACAAGCAAGAGAAGAGUCAAGAUUGCUCCCUGCCUUAUGGUCACCGCCAGGAGUGGUCCAGGAACAAUAUCAUGUACCUAUGGAAAAACCUGUUUUUGGUGGAUCAAGGAUUUGGCACAUACCCUGCACUGGUCACAGGCUACUUAUUCUUAGUUACACUUCGGGAAGAUGGAACACACAUACAUACCAUGUAUAUAUUGAACUGCUUACUCACCUGAUUAUCCUUUGGCCCGGAAUAAAUUUUUUAGGAAAUGUA